rnacentral:misc_RNA from 1 species
AAGUCGUAACAAGGUUUCCGUAGGUGAACCUGCGGAAGGAUCAUUAACACGUAUCCAACGUUAAAACCCCUGUGAACUUUCAGCCUGCUCUUGUGGCCCGUGUGAAGCAGCAAUUCCGGUAAAUCAAGUGGGAGGAACAGUUUUGAUUCGGAACCUCUGCUCCAUAUGUGCACGCUGCAAUUGAGCGGUAGAAAGUGAAUGAAAGUGAAAGUGUAAGGAUAACGCUUCUCGGUUGCUAGAGGUCGAUCACCGACCGGCAGACAUGCCACAGGGUCACCGCGCCCCUAAUCACUCCCUCUGAACCAUACGCCGGCGCCGUUGAAAAGCUGCGCUAAAAAAACCGAACAACUGUUAACAAUGGAUAUCUUGGUUCUC